ensembl:snoRNA
CCUCUUCUUAAAGCACUUGCAGUGUCUGCUCGGUGGCACGAUGAGUUGUCGUGGAAGAGGAUAGAAAGACAUUGCUUUUGGGUGAAGAGGCAGCUACAUGUGCUGUUCUGCUUCAAUCAGUGAUGUGACAAGU